GCCUGUAUAAGCCUAAUUGGUAAGGCAACAGUUUGCUAAACUGUUAGUAAUCCUAUUAUUGGGGUGUGUUGGUUCGAGUCCAGCUACAGGCG
rnacentral:tRNA from 1 species